rnacentral:misc_RNA from 1 species
GAGAGCCCCUCCCCGACGCAUGCUCGCAUGCGUCGUCGAAGGGGCUAUUCUCACACCCUUCUUUUAUGCGUACCUUUUGUUCUUCCUCGGCGGGUUAACCUGCCGACGGAACACCAUCACAACCCUUUUUGCAUCUAGCAUUACCUGUUCUGAUACCCUAAAUCGUUACAACUUUCAACAAUGGAUCUCUUGGCUCU